GGGUUGUGAGGUUAAGCGACUAAGCGUACACGGUGGAUGCCCUGGCAGUCAGAGGCGAUGAAGGGCGUGCUAAUCUGCGAUAAGCGCCGGUAAGGUGAUAUGAACCGUUAUAACCGGCGAUACCCGAAUGGGGAAACCCAGUGUGACUCGUCACACUAUCAUUAACUGAAUCCAUAGUUAAUGAGGCGAACCGGGGAACUGAAACAUCUAAGUACCCCGAGGAAAAGAAAUCAACCGAGAUUCCCCCAGUAGCGGCGAGCGAACGGGAGGAGCCCAGAGCCUGAAUCAGCAUGUGUGUUAGUGGAAGCGUCUGGAAAGGCGCGCGAUACAGGGUGACAGCCCCGUACACAAAAGCGCAUGUGCUGUGAGCUCGAUGAGUAGGGCGGGACACGUGGUAUCCUGUCUGAAUAUGGGGGGACCAUCCUCCAAGGCUAAAUACUCCUGACUGACCGAUAGUGAACCAGUACCGUGAGGGAAAGGCGAAAAGAACCCGGCGAGGGGAGUGAAAAAGAACCUGAAACCGUGUACGUACAAGCAGUGGGAGCACAGGUUUACCUGUGUGACUGCGUACCUUUUGUAUAAUGGGUCAGCGACUUAUAUUCUGUAGCAAGGUUAACCGAAUAGGGGAGCCGGAGGGAAACCGAGUCUUAACCGGGCGUUAAGUUGCAGGGUAUAGACCCGAAACCCGGUGAUCUAGCCAUGGGCAGGUUGAAGGUUGGGUAACACUAACUGGAGGACCGAACCGACUAAUGUUGAAAAAUUAGCGGAUGACCUGUGGCUGGGGGUGAAAGGCCAAUCAAACCGGGAGAUAGCUGGUUCUCCCGAAAGCUAUUUAGGUAGCGCCUCGUGAAUUCAUCUCCGGGGUAGAGCACUGUUUCGGCUAGGGGGCCAUCCCGGCUUACCAACCCGAUGCAAACUGCGAAUACCGGAGAAUGUUAUCACGGGAGACACACGGCGGGUGCUAACGUCCGUCGUGAAGAGGGAAACAACCCAGACCGCCAGCUAAGGUCCCAAAGUCAUGGUUAAGUGGGAAACGAUGUGGGAAGGCCCAGACAGCCAGGAUGUUGGCUUAGAAGCAGCCAUCAUUUAAAGAAAGCGUAAUAGCUCACUGGUCGAGUCGGCCUGCGCGGAAGAUGUAACGGGGCUAAACCAUGCACCGAAGCUGCGGCAGCGACGCUUAUGCGUUGUUGGGUAGGGGAGCGUUCUGUAAGCCUGUGAAGGUGGCCUGUGAGGGUUGCUGGAGGUAUCAGAAGUGCGAAUGCUGACAUAAGUAACGAUAAAGCGGGUGAAAAGCCCGCUCGCCGGAAGACCAAGGGUUCCUGUCCAACGUUAAUCGGGGCAGGGUGAGUCGACCCCUAAGGCGAGGCCGAAAGGCGUAGUCGAUGGGAAACGGGUUAAUAUUCCCGUACUUGGUGUUACUGCGAAGGGGGGACGGAGAAGGCUAUGUUGGCCGGGCGACGGUUGUCCCGGUUUAAGCGUGUAGGUGUGUGUUCCAGGUAAAUCCGGUUCACUUUAACACUGAGGCGUGACGACGAGGCACUACGGUGCUGAAGCAACAAAUGCCCUGCUUCCAGGAAAAGCCUCUAAGCAUCAGGUAACAUCAAAUCGUACCCCAAACCGACACAGGUGGUCAGGUAGAGAAUACCAAGGCGCUUGAGAGAACUCGGGUGAAGGAACUAGGCAAAAUGGUGCCGUAACUUCGGGAGAAGGCACGCUGACAUGUAGGUGAAGUGAUUUACUCAUGGAGCUGAAGUCAGUCGAAGAUACCAGCUGGCUGCAACUGUUUAUUAAAAACACAGCACUGUGCAAACACGAAAGUGGACGUAUACGGUGUGACGCCUGCCCGGUGCCGGAAGGUUAAUUGAUGGGGUCAGCGCAAGCGAAGCUCCUGAUCGAAGCCCCGGUAAACGGCGGCCGUAACUAUAACGGUCCUAAGGUAGCGAAAUUCCUUGUCGGGUAAGUUCCGACCUGCACGAAUGGCGUAAUGAUGGCCAGGCUGUCUCCACCCGAGACUCAGUGAAAUUGAACUCGCUGUGAAGAUGCAGUGUACCCGCGGCAAGACGGAAAGACCCCGUGAACCUUUACUAUAGCUUGACACUGAACAUUGAGCCUUGAUGUGUAGGAUAGGUGGGAGGCUUUGAAGCGUGGACGCCAGUCUGCGUGGAGCCGACCUUGAAAUACCACCCUUUAAUGUUUGAUGUUCUAACGUGGACCCGUGAUCCGGGUUGCGGACAGUGUCUGGUGGGUAGUUUGACUGGGGCGGUCUCCUCCUAAAGAGUAACGGAGGAGCACGAAGGUUGGCUAAUCCUGGUCGGACAUCAGGAGGUUAGUGCAAUGGCAUAAGCCAGCUUGACUGCGAGCGUGACGGCGCGAGCAGGUGCGAAAGCAGGUCAUAGUGAUCCGGUGGUUCUGAAUGGAAGGGCCAUCGCUCAACGGAUAAAAGGUACUCCGGGGAUAACAGGCUGAUACCGCCCAAGAGUUCAUAUCGACGGCGGUGUUUGGCACCUCGAUGUCGGCUCAUCACAUCCUGGGGCUGAAGUAGGUCCCAAGGGUAUGGCUGUUCGCCAUUUAAAGUGGUACGCGAGCUGGGUUUAGAACGUCGUGAGACAGUUCGGUCCCUAUCUGCCGUGGGCGCUGGAGAACUGAGGGGGGCUGCUCCUAGUACGAGAGGACCGGAGUGGACGCAUCACUGGUGUUCGGGUUGUCAUGCCAAUGGCACUGCCCGGUAGCUAAAUGCGGAAGAGAUAAGUGCUGAAAGCAUCUAAGCACGAAACUUGCCCCGAGAUGAGUUCUCCCUGAGACUUAGAGUCUCCUGAAGGAACGUUGAAGACGACGACGUUGAUAGGCCGGGUGUGUAAGCGCAGCGAUGCGUUGAGCUAACCGGUACUAAUGAACCGUGAGGCUUAACCUUACAACGCCGAAGCUGUU
rnacentral:rRNA from 1 species